rnacentral:rRNA from 1 species
AAUGAACGCUGGCGGCGUGCCUAACACAUGCAAGUCGGAUGUGCCGCAAGGUGCAUGGCAGACGGGUGAGUAACGCGUGGGGAAUCUACCUUUUUGUGGGGAAUAACGUUCCGAAAGGAAUGGUAAUACCGCAUGUGAUCACAGUUUGGGAUAGCUGUGAUGAAAGCUGGGGACCGCAAGGCCUAGCGCAAGAAGAGGAUCCUGCGUCUGAUUAGCUAGUUGGCGGGGUAAUGGCCCACCAAGGCGACGAUCAGUAGCCGGCCUGAGAGGGUGAUCGGCCACACUGGAACUGAGACACGGUCCAGACUCCUACGGGAGGCAGCAGUGGGGAAUUUUGCGCAAUGGACGAAAGUCUGACGCAGCAACGCCGCGUGGGUGAUGAAGGUCUUCGGAUCGUAAAACCCUGUCGUCAGGGACGAAGGUAACGUGCCUAAUACGCAUGUCGCUUGACGGUACCUGGAGAGGAAGCCCCGGCUAACUCUGUGCCAGCCGCCGCCGUAA